rnacentral:rRNA from 1 species
UAUUGCACAAUGGGGGGAACCCUGAUGCAGCGACGCCGCGUGAGCGAUGAAGUAUUUCGGUAUGUAAAGCUCUAUCAGCAGGGAAGAAGAUGACGGUACCUGACUAAGAAGCCCCGGCUAACUACGUUCCCGCAGCCGCGGGAAUACGUAGGGGGCAAGCGUUAUCCGGGUUUACUGGGUGUAAAGGGAGCGUAGACGGCGAUGCAAGCCUGGAGUGAAAGGCGGGGGCUCAACCCCCGGACUGCUUUGGGAACUGCAUGGCUGGAGUGUCGGAGAGGCAGGCGGAAUUCCUAGUGUAGCGGUGAAAUGCGUAGAUAUUAGGAGGAACACCAGUGGCGAAGGCGGCCUGCUGGACGAUGACUGACGUUGAGGCUCGAAAGCGUGGGGAGCAAACAGG